CUCCCCCAAGUAUACUU
rnacentral:misc_RNA from 1 species